GGAAAAAGAAAACCCCUAGAAUCCCCCGUUCGUAAAGCCAUGGCGGGUACCGAGGAUUACGUCAGCCUGUUGCCCGAUGACGCAAUCGAGCACAUCUUCUCCUUCUUGCCCACGAGGGACGCCGUCCGGACGUGCGUCCUGUCGAGGCGGUGGCGGUCCGCCUGGACCACCGCCGUCCCGGACCUCGGGUUCUCCGUCUCCUCGCACGGCGGCGGCGACGGCGGCUCGUUCGUGGACAGGGUCCUGGCGCUGUACGGGAGGAGCAAGGUGAGGAAGUUCCAUCUCGACAUCAUGGCAAAGCACUUCUGCCGCUCCAAGAUCGAUUCAUGGGUUCGGUUCGCGAUUGAUCAUGGGGUGGAAGAGCUUCGUGUCGACUUGAAUACUUGGUGGCCGUAUUACCCAUUGUCUCCAUCGCUUUAUAAUUGCUCCUCGUUGACUCGGCUGUUCUUGAGAGGCUGUCGUUUCACGUCCUGCGAGAGCGUUAGUUGGAGUUCGCUCAAGUCCUUGUCCGUUGGAAGUGUGAGUGAUGAUGUGCUCCGGAAGAUUUUGAUGGGCAGCCCUGUUCUUGAAUGCUUGGCUUUGAAAGGCUGCCGGGGUUUAAAGAGAAUUCAUUCGAGUAGUUUGAGAGAGUUGGUGAUCGAUGAUGCUGUCGCGAAAUCCCCUUUGCACAUUUCGACUCCGCGGUUACUGUCACUGCGUGUGAGGGGGCAUUGUUGUUUUGGGGCAAUAGGAAUUGUUGAAGCACCAUCCUUAGUUGAAGCAGAAUUAGAUUUCGACGGUCCGAUCAAAUACGAUUUCAACGGUCCAACCAAAUCGGAUUUCCGCCUGCUGAAGGAAAUCCUUUGCAAGCUGCAGAAUGCUACUCGAAUUCUUUUCGGUUCUUGGUGCUUUCGGGUUAUGCGGCCUCUGAAGGUAGAAGACGUGCAGGUUUCGCUGCCGAAUUGCAAGUCUCUGACCCUACACAUGCUCAUUUGCGAAUUCAGCUUUCCUGCCAUAGCAAAUAUGCUAGCAACUACACCAAAUUUGGAGAAGCUGAUUAUAAUUUUUAAGCCAUAUGAUCUGUUCUGGAAUUCGUCUAACUUAUACUCCUGCAAUGUUGAUCAUGAGAGCUAUUGGCAUAUGAAGAAGAAGUUCAAGCGCUGGGCUCGGCAUCUAAAGAAUGUUGAGAUUUUUGGAUUUUAUGAUUGCUUAAGAUUCAAAUACGAGGAAGUGCUCAUGCUGGUAAAGUUUCUUCUCGGACAUGCCUCUUUGCUGGAAAAUAUAGUCAUCAAAGUUAUAAAUGGAUCACGACACCUUGAGGUAGUCGGUUCACACAGGUUGUAUGAACUGGCCCGAUUGCAUCAACUGGCCCGUCGACUUCAAUGUUAUCGCAGUGCCUCUAAGCAUGCUGCGGUUAUACUAAAUUAUCUGGAAGAAGAGCAUGGAAAGCAGCAGAUGAAAGGAGUUAGAAUAACAACAAAAUGUAUGCGCAUUGGCCAUAAGGAUGCCUGAUUGGACUAGGAAUACUGUAAGCUACAACAUCAACUAGUCUGUUGCUGGUAUUGUCUCAUGGAAGUUUUUCAGCGAUUUAAAGCAAGUUAUGAUAUAGUAUUUUGCUUCGGAAUUGUUUUACAAGGUUGAGCAAUGUGUUGCCGUAGCUUGUCCUUCCGUAGCCCUUGAUCCAGGAGGGAAGUCCCUAUUCAAAUAAGUUAUGCUGUUCUAAGAAAUCCAUCUUCAUUCAAUGAUGGUUGAAGAGAGAUUGAAGUCGCCAGCUAUUGGGAUGGUUUGGUAAAAGGAGUAGAUGGCUCAUUCUAUCAUCUUCCUUGUUCAAAGGCUAAUAAAGUUAGCCGCAAUACAUGAUAUAGGCAAUUGUUGGAUGAGAAAUACUGGAUCCAGGUAUUAUUAGAAAUGACUUGUAUUAAAAUUGUUGGGUUAAUAUCUAGUACUAAUGCAAUCGAUGGUGAGGUAUAUAUAUGCAGUGUAGACAUUAUGCUUGAUGUUAUGUUCAACCAAGUAAUUAACCAUUUUGUUGAUAAUAUUAUGAAGAGUUUUGUAAAUAGAUCACCGGAUAUUAUAACAACAUUCAUAUGGGAUGAUCAACAAUUAAAGUCGUGCACUUAGUUGAGUGUAUGACUAGGCUCAAGCAUGUCGCGAUUGUUAGUUUUGGUGUCAUUUAUCUUAUUUUGAAAACUGUAAUUGCUAUACUAACAUUUCUACUAGAAAAUGCACUCGUGUUGGAUAAAAUGGCGAUCCUCGCCAAUGGACCAAAAUCUGUUGAAAAGUGGAUCCCUGCAAACUGUUUGAGCAGCCCAAGUUUUUCUAAACCUCCAUAGAGCUUCUCAAAAUGCUGAAGUUGUUUUUGACUUCCAGGGAAAUCCUUCCAAAAUCAUGUUUAGAUAUUAACUUUUUGUUCAAUCUCAUGAUGUGUUGUUGUUCAUCAUGUGUAUGUUCUAAUAGUGUUCCAGCAGUUUGUCAGACAUAUACUAUGUGGAUGUUUGAAUUGUGUUUCUUCCUGUUGGUUUUCAUUUCAUGAUAGUUUAGUUUACUCUUCGA